rnacentral:rRNA from 1 species
AACGAACGCUGGCGGCAUGCCUAACACAUGCAAGUCGAACGAGACCUUCGGGUCUAGUGGCGCACGGGUGCGUAACGCGUGGGAACCUGCCUUUAGGUUCGGAAUAACUCAGAGAAAUUUGAGCUAAUACCGGAUAAUGUCUUCGGACCAAAGAUUUAUCGCCUUUAGAUGGGCCCGCGUUGGAUUAGCUAGUUGGUGGGGUAAAGGCCUACCAAGGCGACGAUCCAUAGCUGGUCUGAGAGGAUGAUCAGCCACACUGGGACUGAGACACGGCCCAGACUCCUACGGAGGCAGCAGUGGGGAAUAUUGGACAAUGGGCGAAAGCCUGAUCCAGCAAUGCCGCGUGAGUGAUGAAGG